UGGGGAAUAUUGCACAAUGGGGAGGACCCUGAUGCAGCGACGCCGCGUGAGCGAAGAAGUAUUUCGGUAUGUAAAGCUCUAUCAGCAGGGAAGAAAAUGACGGUACCUGACUAAGAAGCCCCGGCUAACUACGUGCCAGCAGCCGCGGUAAUACGUAGGGGGCGAAGCGUUAUCCGGAUUUACUGGGUGUAAAGGGAGCGUAGACGGCGUAUCAAGUCUGAUGUGAAAGGCAUGGGCUCAACCCGUGGACUGCAUUGGAAACUGGUAUGCUUGAGUGCCGGAGGGGUAAGCGGAAUUCCUAGUGUAGCGGUGAAAUGCAUAGAUAUUAGGAGGAACACCAGUGGCGAAGGCGGCUUACUGGACUGUAACUGACACUGAGGCUCGAAAGCGUGGGGAGCAAAAGCAGGAUUAGAUACCC
rnacentral:rRNA from 1 species